rnacentral:rRNA from 1 species
UCAGUACAAAUAAUAUGCUGACUAAAGUUUAUUAACACUAAAGGACAAAAAGACCCUCUGAAGCUUUAUAGGGAUAAAACUUGGAUAACAUUCUCAAUACAAAUAUUCUUAUGACCACUGUUUAAUUGGGGCGAUAA